rnacentral:rRNA from 1 species
UACGAAGGGUGCAAGCGUUAAUCGGAAUUACUGGGCGUAAAGCGUGCGUAGAUGGUUCGCUAAGUCGGAUGUGAAAGCCCCGGGCGUCAACCUGGGAACGUGCAUCCGAUACUGGCGGACUAGAGUGUGAUAGAGGAUGGCGGAAUUCCCGGUGUAGCGGUGAAAUGCGUAGAGAUCGGGAGGAACAUCCGUGGCGAAGGCGGCCAUCUGGAUCAACACUGACGUUGAGGCACG